GCUGGCAGCUUGGUUGUAUGUGCUCGCUCCUAACAAUCUUCAUCCAAACACCUGUGCACAUUUAGAGAGGGUCUCCGAGUUCUGCUUGGAGUCCCUUCCUCUCAUACACACUUUAUUUAAAUAUUGAACGUGAUUGUGCCGUGAGGCCUUAAUAUUAAUACAACUUUUAACAACGGAUCUCUUGGCUCUCGCAUCGAUGAAGAACGCAGCGAAAUGUGAUAAGUAAUGUGAAUUGCAGAAUUCAGUGAAUCAUCGAAUUUUUGAACGCACCUUGCGCUCCCUGGUAUUCCGGGGAGCACGCCUGUUCGAGUGUCGUGAAAUUGUCAAACUGGGAUGCUUUUUUGUUUCUCGGCUUGGUGUUGGGCUUUGCAGUUCCUUUGAUUGGGACGGCUGGCCUCAAAAGCAUUAGCUGGCUUUUAAUGUGGCAUUGGUUCUACUCAGCGUGAUAAUGAUUUGACCGCCGAGGACAUCUUUUGAGAUGGCCAAUUCUCAUUCGGGCUGCUUCUAAUUUUGGUUAAGCAGAUUGUGAAUCUGCUCCACUUUUCAGCUUUUGACCUCGAAUCAGGUGGGACUACCCG
rnacentral:rRNA from 1 species